GAUCCUGCCAGUAGUCAUAUGCUUGUCUCAAAGAUUAAGCCAUGCAUGUGUAAGUAUGAACAAAUACAGACUGUGAAACUGCGAAUG
rnacentral:rRNA from 1 species